GCUGCCGUAGCUCAGUUGGGAGAGCGUUAUACUGAUGAUCUAAAUGUCCCUGGUUCGAUCCCUGGUUUCGGCAGCU